UCAUACCUAUGAUGAGUUGCGAACUGUAUUGCCUACAUUGUUUGAUACUAUGAGAAGCUUAUGCAACUUCUGAGGAUGA
rfam:Triticum urartu cultivar G1812 contig581372, whole genome shotgun sequence.